CAUGGAUCCGCCGCCAGAGAUAGAUGUGCUGAAUUUUACCUGGUUGACAAAAUCAAACAGUCCAUCAUACUCAGAUGCUUUAGGCAAAGCAAGAGAAAGAGAACUGAAGAAAAGCAAGUGUGUGGCUCUGGGAACGCUGCAGUUCAGAAGACUUUAAUGUAACGAACUUUCCACUCCCCACCCUCUGCUUAGGCA